rnacentral:rRNA from 1 species
GAAACGACUGCUAAGACUGGAUAGGAAGAUAAAAGGCAUCUUGUAUCUUUUAAAAGACCUAGUAAUAGGUAUGCUUUAGGAGGGGCUUGCGCCACAUUAGUUAGUUGGUAGGGUAAAGGCCUACCAAGACUAUGAUGUGUAGCUGGACUGAGAGGUUGAACAGCCACAUUGGGACUGAGACACGGCCCAAACUCCUACGGGAGGCAGCAGUAGGGAAUUUUCGGCAAAGGAGGAAACUCUGAGCGAGCAACUCCGCGUGAAUGACGAAGUACUUCGGUAUGUAAAGUUCUUUUAUCGAGGAAGAAAAGCAAAUGGCGAACCUUUUGUUUGCCGGUACUUGAUGUAUAAGCCCCGGCUAAUUAUGUGCCAGCAGCCGCGGUAAGACAUAAGGGGCAAGUGUUAUCCGGAAUUAUUGGGCGUAAAGGGUGCGUAGGCGGUCUAGUAAGUCAGUGGUGUAAUGGCAACGCUUAACGUUGUCCGGCUAUUGAAACUGCUAAACUUGAGUUAGAUAGGGGCGAGUGGAAUUCCAUGUGUAGCGGUAAAAUGCGUAAAUAUAUGGAGGAACACCAGAGGCGUAGGCGGCUCGCUGGGUCUUAACUGACGCUGAGGCACGAAAGCGUGGGGAGCAAACAGGAUUAGAUACCCUGGUAGUCCACGCCGUAAACGAUGAGUACUAAGUGUCGGGUUAAACCGGUACUGAAGUUAACACAUUAAGUACUCCGCCUGAGUAGUACGUACGCAAGUAUGAAACUUAAAGGAAUUGACGGGACUCCGCACAAGCGGUGGAUCAUGUUGUUUAAUUCGAAGAUACCCGAAAAACCUUACCAGGUCUUGACAUGUUUUUGCAAAAUGAUAGUAAUAUCGUGGAGGUUACCAGAAACACAGGUGGUGCAUGGUUGUCGUCAGCUCGUGUCGUGAGAUGUUAGGUUAAGUCCUAAAACGAGCGAAACCCUUAUCGUUAGUUGCCAGCACGUUAUGGUGGGGACUUUAACGAGACUGCCAAUGAUAAAUUGGAGGAAGGUGAGGAUCACGUCAAAUCAGCAUGCCCCUUAUGACCUGGGCUACAAACGUGAUACAAUGGCUGUUACAAAGGGCAGCUGAAACGCAAGUUCUUGGCCAAUCCCCAAAAACAGUCCCAGUCCGGAUUGAAGUCUGCAACUCGACUUCAUGAAGUUGGAAUCGCUAGUAAUCGCGAAUCAGCAUGUCGCGGUGAAUACGUUCUCGGGGUUUGUACACACCGCCCGUCAAACCGCGAAAGUUGGCAAUACCCCAAAACGGUAGCUUAACUCGUUUAUUCGAGAGGGCGCCGUCUAAGGAAGGGUCGAUGAUUGGGGUUAAGUCGUAACAAGGUAUCCCUACCGGAAGGUGGGGAUGGAUCACCUCCUUUCUA